CGACCCCAGGUCAGGCGGGACUACCCGCUGAGUUUAAGCAUAUAAAUAAGCGGAGGAGAAGAAACUUACGAGGAUUCCCCUAGUAACGGCGAGCGAACCGGGAGAUGCCCAGCUUGAGAAUCGGG
rnacentral:ncRNA from 1 species